UGGGAGGACAGGCUCCAUGCCGUUUCUUGUA
rnacentral:piRNA from 1 species